CAAGACUUCAGUUUUUGGUUGGAUCGUACGCAUAGCUUCCGGGAUAUCACCAAACCCCGGCACGAAAAGUGUCAAGGAAAAUGCAACUAAACAGCCUGCUUUCGCCAACCCGGAGACGGUGUUUGUUCGGAAGCAGUGCUGCAAUGUAAAGUCUAAAACGACUCUCGGCAACGGAUAUCUCGGCUCUCGCAUCGAUGAAGAACGUAGCGAAAUGCGAUACUUGGUGUGAAUUGCAGAAUCCCGUGAACCAUCGAGUCUUUGAAUGUAAGUUGCGCCCCAACCCUUCUAGCCGAGGGCACGUCUGCCUGGGUGUCACAAAUCAUCAUCCCCCCAUCCUCUCGAGGAUAGGGGACGGAAGCUGAUCUCCCGUGUGUUACCGCACGUGGUUGGCACAAAUCCGAGCUAAGGAUGCCAGGAGCAUCUUGACAUGCGGUGGUGAAUUCAAUUCUCGUCAUAUAGUCAGACGUUCUUGUCCAAAAGCUCUUGAUGACCCAGAGUCCUCAACGCGACCCCAGGUCAGGCGGGAUCACCCGCUGACUUUAAGCAUAUCAAUAAGCGG
rnacentral:rRNA from 1 species